AACGAACGCUGGCGGCGUGCCUAACACAUGCAAGUCGAACGGUGUAUCUGCUGUAGCAAUACAGUAGAUACGUAGUGGCGCACGGGUGAGUAACACGUGAGUGAUCUGCCUCCAAGCCCGGGAUAACCUGCCGAAAGGCGGGCUAAUACCGGAUGAGGCCACAGUCCCUUCGGGGACAGGGGUUGAAGGUGCCUGGGUAACCAGGUACCACUUGGAGAUGAGCUCGCGGCCCAUCAGCUAGUUGGUAAGGUGACGGCUUACCAAGGCUAUGACGGGUAGCUGGUCUGAGAGGACGACCAGCCACACUGGAACUGAGACACGGUCCAGACUCCUACGGGAGGCAGCAGUGGGGAAUAUUGCGCAAUGGGGGAAACCCUGACGCAGCAACGCCGCGUGGGUGAUGAAGGCCUUCGGGUCGUAAAGCCCUGUCAGCAGGGAAGGAACUCCGGGGAGCGAAUAGGUCUCCGGAUUGACGGUACCUGCGGAGGAAGCACCGGCUAACUCCGUGCCAGCCGCCGCCGUAA
rnacentral:rRNA from 1 species